rnacentral:sRNA from 1 species
AGUUAAAUUUGCCUCCGGCAAGUGAAAUUCGUCUUCGACGAGUGAAAUUUGCCUGCGGCAAAUGAAAUU